GAUCGAUGAAGACCGCAGCUAAAUGCGCGUCAGAAUGUGAACUGCAGGACACAUGAACACCGACAAGUUGAACGCAUAUUGCACAUCGUACAACAGUACGAUGUACACAUUUUUGAGUGCCUAUAUUUAUCUAUUCAACUGUGUGUGCUCUCUCUCGCGGGGGGGCACGCACGCAGCAUGGUGUUUUACUGCCUUCGGUGGCUGGUAAAACAUUUAAGAUACUCCCGGUUCGGGUGCGACGACCAUCACUGGCGCGCGACACGACGUGAGAAUACAUCCCACACACCAACCUGGCUUGGGCGCCGAUGUAAACUCUCUCAGUCAUCCGAUGUCGCGGUGCCGCGUCCGCCCACCACAUGAACCGUAUCUGAUAAAUCCAUGUAGGCCUCAAAUAAUGUGUGACUACCCCCUAAAUUUAAGCAUAUUA
rnacentral:sRNA from 1 species